UUGCUCUAAAGUCGCCCAAUGGGAACCCCUUCAGGAUGGGUGCUGAGUUCUUCUGCUAUGUUUCCCUUCAGGAUGGUUCCUGGUGGGAGCGGUGGCUCAUGCCUGUAAUCCCAACACUUGGGGAGGCCAAGGUGUGUCCGGAAUUUAUCCUUCUGAUUCCAUCAAGGACUCUCUUGAAGGAUGCUGACUCACGCUGUCUGUCUUACUUCAUUUCUUUGCAGGGGAAUUCCAGCUGUUCUCCUAACAGAAGGGCAGUUUUUGAAGAAAUUAAGCAGGACUUGAUGUGGAUUGUCAUAAGCUGUCUCUCCCUCAAGAGGUAACUUCUCAUGUUUGCUGGUUCAGAGGUUCAGGGAGAUGUCUCUGAUGUGUAGAUGUCUGAGUUUGCAGCUCAGGUUACCUUUGGGUCUGGGACCCUGCUUUUGACCACUUGGUGUAUGUGGGCUGUUUUUUCAUGUGAUGGGACAGGGGAAUGCUGUGAACAUGGCCGCUGUUCCGCUUGGGAUGUUGGCUGAGCGCUGCUGGCCUGUGUGCCUGGAAUGCUCUCUGAUUCAGGUAUCUAACAUUAACUGAGAGGUCACAGUCACCAGCAGAGCUUCUGAGACCGGCACUGUUCUGGCCAGAGAGUCAGGAAGAGAAGACAUUUUGCUCUUGUGUCUGGAAUCAAAGGUCUUUUCCACCGAGUCUCGUGUGGUUUUCUCAGAUAGAAAUGCUCUCUUGGGAGAGUCUUGGGUGCCAAGUGAAACAUCUUUCAAGACCCUGUGGCUCUUUUCAGGGAAAUAUUAAACCCAGCAAACAUCUGCUAAGAAAUGUGCUGUAUUUGAAAGUUCUUGCUGGGCAUUGUGGCUCACGCCUGUAGUCCCAGGGCUUUGGGAGGCCAAGACGAG
rnacentral:lncRNA from 1 species